UACGUAGGGCGCAAGCGUUGUCCGGAAUUAUUGGGCGUAAAGAGCUCGUAGGCGGCUUGUCACGUCGGGUGUGAAAGCCCGGGGCUUAACCCCGGGUCUGCAUCCGAUACGGGCAGGCUAGAGUGUGGUAGGGGAGAUCGGAAUUCCUGGUGUAGCGGUGGAAUGCGCAGAUAUCAGGAGGAACACCGAUGGCGAAGGCAGAUCUCUGGGCCGUAACUGACGCUGAGGAGCGAAAGCGUGGGGAGCGAACAGG
rnacentral:rRNA from 1 species